ACGGGUGAGUAACACGUAGCUAACCUGCCCUUGAGCGGGGGAUAACCUGGGGAAACUCGGGCUAAUACCGCAUGACAUUCCGACUUCACAAGGAGAUGGAAUCAAAGGCCCGCAAGGGUCACUCAAGGAGGGGGCUGCGGCCGAUUAGCUAGUUGGCGGGGUAAUGGCCCACCAAGGCGAUGAUCGGUAGCCGGCCUGAGAGGGCGCACGGCCACACUGGCACUGAAACACGGGCCAGACUCCUACGGGAGGCAGCAGUGGGGAAUUUUGCACAAUGCCCGAAAGGGUGAUGCAGCAACGCCGCGUGAGGGAUGAAGGCCUUCGGGUCGUAAACCUCUUUCGAUCGGGAAAAAUGGGCGGGUGAUGAGCCCGUUCUGAUGGUACCGGAAGAAGAAGCCCCGGCUAACUACGUGCCAGCAGCCGCGGUAAUACGUAGGGGGCGAGCGUUGUUCGGAAUUACUGGGCGUAAAGGGCGUGUAGGCGGUGCGAUAAGUUGGGCGUGAAAUCCCCGGGCUUAACCCGGGGCGGUCGUUCAAGACUGUCGUGCUAGAGUGCAGGAGAGGGAAGUGGAAUUCCCGGUGUAGCGGUGAAAUGCGUAGAUAUCGGGAGGAACACCUGCGGCGAAGGCGGCUUCCUGGACUGCAACUGACGCUGAGGCGCGAAAGCUAGGGGAGCAAACAGGAUUAGAUACCCUGGUAGUCCUAGCCCUAAACGAUGAAUACUGGGUGUGGC
rnacentral:rRNA from 1 species